UAGUCAUAUGCUUGUCUCAAAGAUUAAGCCAUGCAUGUCUAGGUAUAAAUAGUAUACAGUGAAACUGCGAAUGGCUCAUUAAAACAGUUAUAGUUUAUUUGAUAAUCGAAAGCUACAUGGAUAACCGUGGUAAUUCUAGAGCUAAUACAUGCAGUCAAACCCGACCUUCGGAAGGGUUGUAUUUAUUAGAUAUCAAGCCAAUACUCCUUCGGGUUUAUUGUGGUGAAUCAUAGUAACUGAUCGAAGCCCUCAGGGCUAAAUCAUUCAAGUUUCUGCC
rnacentral:rRNA from 1 species